rnacentral:rRNA from 2 species
GAAUGCUGACAUAAGUAACGAUAAAGCGGGUGAAAAGCCCGCUCGCCGGAAGACCAAGGGUUCCUGUCCAACGUUAAUCGGGGCAGGGUGAGUCGACCCCUAAGGCGAGGCCGAAAGGCGUAGUCGAUGGGAAACAGGUUAAUAUUCCUGUACUUGGUGUUACUGCGAAGGGGGGACGGAGAAGGCUAUGUUAGCCGGGCGACGGUUGUCCCGGUUUAAGCAUGUAGGCUGGUUAUCCAGGCAAAUCCGGAUAAUCAAGGCUGAGGUGUGAUGACGAGGCACUACGGUGCUGAAGUAACAAAUGCCCUGCUUCCAGGAAAAGCCUCUAAGCAUCAGGUAACAUCAAAUCGUACCCCAAACCGACACAGGUGGUCAGGUAGAGAAUACCAAGGCGCUUGAGAGAACUCGGGUGAAGGAACUAGGCAAAAUGGUGCCGUAACUUCGGGAGAAGGCACGCUGGUGUGUAGGUGAAGCCCCUGCGGGUGGAGCUGAGACCAGUCGAAGAUACCAGCUGGCUGCAACUGUUUAUUAAAAACACAGCACUGUGCAAACACGAAAGUGGACGUAUACGGUGUGACGCCUGCCCGGUGCCGGAAGGUUAAUUGAUGGGGUUAUCCGUAAGGAGAAGCUCUUGAUCGAAGCCCCGGUAAACGGCGGCCGUAACUAUAACGGUCCUAAGGUAGCGAAAUUCCUUGUCGGGUAAGUUCCGACCUGCACGAAUGGCGUAAUGAUGGCCAGGCUGUCUCCACCCGAGACUCAGUGAAAUUGAACUCGCUGUGAAGAUGCAGUGUACCCGCGGCAAGACGGAAAGACCCCGUGAACCUUUACUAUAGCUUGACACUGAACAUUGAGCCUUGAUGUGUAGGAUAGGUGGGAGGCUUUGAAGCGUGGACGCCAGUCUGCGUGGAGCCAACCUUGAAAUACCACCCUUUAAUGUUUGAUGUUCUAACGUUGGCCCCUUAUCGGGGUUGCGGACAGUGUCUGGUGGGUAGUUUGACUGGGGCGGUCUCCUCCCAAAGCGUAACGGAGGAGCACGAAGGUUAGCUAAUCCUGGUCGGACAUCAGGAGGUUAGUGCAAUGGCAUAAGCUAGCUUGACUGCGAGCGUGACGGCGCGAGCAGGUGCGAAAGCAGGUCAUAGUGAUCCGGUGGUUCUGAAUGGAAGGGCCAUCGCUCAACGGAUAAAAGGUACUCCGGGGAUAACAGGCUGAUACCGCCCAAGAGUUCAUAUCGACGGCGGUGUUUGGCACCUCGAUGUCGGCUCAUCACAUCCUGGGGCUGAAGUAGGUCCCAAGGGUAUGGCUGUUCGCCAUUUAAAGUGGUACGCGAGCUGGGUUUAGAACGUCGUGAGACAGUUCGGUCCCUAUCUGCCGUGGGCGCUGGAGAAUUGAGGGGGGCUGCUCCUAGUACGAGAGGACCGGAGUGGACGCAUCACUGGUGUUCGGGUUGUCAUGCCAAUGGCACUGCCCGGUAGCUAAAUGCGGAAGAGAUAAGUGCUGAAAGCAUCUAAGCACGAAACUUGCCCCG